CUUCAGCGACCCGAGCCACAGCGGCCUGCCGGCCGGGCGGUCCUGGCCAUAGGUCGCCAGCAGCGCCUGCGCCUC
rnacentral:antisense_RNA from 1 species